GCCAGCUGUCUCUGCCUACUCUCACAAGACUCCCAAAAGUUGCUUACGUCCUUCUCCCAUUUCUCAGGCUCCACCAAUGAGAGACACUGCAUAUCUGUCAUCUGGACACUUGGUCACCCACUUGGUGUGAUUCUCUCCAGAUGCAUGCAUGUUUCUGCAGACCAGAUGAUGUCAUUCUUCUUGGUGAAGGACAAUAAUCCUUUCAAGUCUGUUCCCCACACACUCUUUACUCGAUCUCUCUUCGCUGGAUACUUUCCUUGGUUAUAUCACUUAGCUCUUGUAAAUAAGGUUACAUCAUUAUUGAAGUAUCUGGCAUAUGUGGAUUCUCUGCCUUCAAGAACAUUGGGCAUGCAAGUGUUACUCAGAAAUCCAUGGAGAUAAAACUGAGAGGGGUAAAAUGCAAACUGAAAACAACGGCAGCAGAUUUGACGAAAACCAGAGCUGAAAACAUCAAAUACUCCAGGAGGUACUGACAGCCAAGCCAAAUAAAUUCCAGUGAAUCAAGAAACUGCCUGGAGCCCAGAGGCCAAGAUAAUUAAGGAUCUCACAUCUCAGGUGGUAGGAGGCUCCCACUCCCCAGGGCUUCUCCUUUCUGUGCUCUUGGUGUCCCGCGAUUCAUGGCCUCGAUCUGGACCAGGGUCAGUGCUGCUCUGCCUCAGGGACCGGUUCUAGGUCAGAGUCCUCCACUCUUGCUGGGGUCGAUGGUUGCUCGAGUCCCUCGUGGAAGGUCCGCGGAUUUCCGGCUCGCUGGAAGAGUCCGUCCUCCCAAAGGAUCCUUCCAAGUCACCCUGGAAACAUUAAAGCCACUGCUGGAGAUCAUCACCUCUGUCGGAGAAGAUCACUGCUAGGCCGGGAUAAAAAGGAAGAGGCCAAGGCCCAAGUUCUUCUGAGAAGACCAGAAGCAGAGGAGGUUCGGUCUCUGGCGCCACCGGGGCGGAAUCCCAGGCCUGCUUCACAGGCAGGGACUAGGAAGUCGGCUCCAUCCCUCCAACAGCCCUUGCACCUGGAGGUCAGCAGCCUGUGCACAGUGCAGGCAGCAGAUUCUUCUGCAGGCCCAGUCCCUGGGUAUUUGUAGUCUUCCAGGGGGAGGGGGAAGGGUUGGGGGAGGAAAAAUUGGUGAACUUGUGCGGGUUAAAACGUCUAUUGCCUAGAUCUUCAAGCACUUGGUCGCGUUAGAGCACUGGACGGUGUUUUGAGCACUUGACCUUUAUGGAGGACUUGGACGUGUUUCAGCACUGGACGAUGUUCCUGCACUUGGUCGUGGUCCUGUUCCAGUACUUGACCGUCAUCCAGCACUUGACCUUCAUGGGUCGUGUUGGAGCACUGGGCGGUGUUUGGAGCACUUGGUGGUGAACAAACACUUGGUCGUUUUCGUGUUUGAGUACUGGACCGUCAUUAACAUUUGAACCUGUUCGAGCACUUGGUGGUGUUCCAGCACUUGGUCCUGUUCCAGCACUGGACAGUGUUUGAGCACUUGACCGUUAUCCGCACAUGAUCGGUAUGGAGCACUUGGUCGGGUUAGAGCGCUGGACGGUGUUCCAGCACUUAACCGUCAUGGAGUACUUGGUCCUGUUCCAGUACAAGACCGCGCUCAAGCCCUGGGCCGUGUUGUACCCGAAAAACGUUGACAAAACGAAACGGAAGCAGAGGCUACGGAGAUUCGUUCGUCCAUACACGGAAUUCGUCCUCUUUCAGGAAGCCGGUGUCUGAUGUCUUGGGACAUUUGCUCAGGGGGAAAACUUGCAUCGGUUCGAAAUCCGUAAAAACAGAAAUCGGACGAACUUCCAGCGUUAGAAAAGACAACGACCAAACGAAGGGGACCCGAAAACGAAUGGAAACUGCAGCCUCCUCACCGCAACUGGGAGUCGAAAGGCGCCUUAGGGCCUGUGGCAUAACCGCCCAGUGGCGCAGACUCUGUGGUGUGAGAGAGAUGCACCGAGGCCUGCGGUGUCCGGUGUCUUGCCCUGAUGGCCAGAGGGCUAAGGAUUAGGAAUCAGUGCUGCACUUGAGCCUUAGACCGUCAUGGAGCACUUGGUUGUGUUUGAGUGGACCGGGCUCCAGCCCUGGCCCGUGCUGUACCCUAAAACCCUUAAGAAAACCAAAGGAAAGCGGUGGCUACGAAGAUUCUGUUGUCCAUACACCGAAUUCGUCCUCUUUCAGGAAGCUGGGGUCGGAUAUCUUGGGACACUUGUCCGGAGAAAACCUGACUUGGAGAUGGCAGUAGACCCUGAAUCCGCUAACGGGGGGGGAGGGGGGGAUCCAAGUUUCAGCGAUUAGAAACUUAGAGGAAAAAGAACGAAAACCGCAGCGUCUAACUCAGUCGGGUGAACACGCGCACCAUGGCGCCAAACGUUUCCUCCAAGGUUUCCCUCACGCGAAAUGGGUUCGUGGUUAGUGUCGAAUGUGGCCACAUCCUGCCUGGCUGAGCCGAAUUCCGCCUGCAAAGCCAAAGAACCGAGGCACAAAAUCACAGACACGGUUUGAGAUCGCGUUCGGUCGGAUUGCAGCCCGGCCUGCUGACAGUCGAACCAAUAUUGGCUGCCUGGACGAAUCGAGGGCACCCCACCCACCCUGUCCUCGUGAAGGCUGGUGGACUAACCUCGGUGGUCCCCACACCAGCUUCUCCACCAAGCCUAGAAACAGCGCCCCCAGAGUGUCACCAAGUAGCUUUGAAAGCUGGCGCUUGCAGCCCAUUAAAUUAAUUACCUUUGGAAUCAUUUAUUAAGCAAGCAAGAAUUGACACUGACCAUAUGAGGCACGUGGAUGUAGGAAUUUAUCUUGGAAGCAGCCGGCGGCCCAGAAGACUUCGGGCUGCGAGGAAGGAAGAGGUUUUGGCUGGCAUUCUCUUGGCACAGAGCGCACUCUAAAACGCUGAAAGGCGCCUGCAGCUCCCUAAGGCUCCCUGCUGCCACGUUCCGGUUUGCAGCAGCCACGUGGCACGCAGCAGUGGAACACGCAACGAAUGCGCCGCCAGAGGGCGCACAAAACCCGCGAUCCUCCCCUCAGGUCUCCAGUGGUGGGCGGGUGACACUCCCCAGGGCUUCUCCUCUCCGUGGUCUCGGUGUCCCGCGAUUCCUGGCCACGGUGGGGCGCUCUGGACCAGGGCCGAGGCUGCUCCGCCUCUGGGAAAGGUUCUAGGUCGGAGUCCUCCACGCUUGCCGGGGUCGAGGUUUGGUCGAGUCCCUCGUGGAAGGCCCGCGGAUUUCAGGCUCGCUGGAAGACUCGGUCCUCUCAAAUGACUCCUUCGAAGUCACCCUGGAGACAUGGAAGCGGUUGCUCGAGAUCGUCACCUCUGUCGGACAGGAUCACUCCUAGGACCGGAAAGGAAGAGGACAAGGCCCACGUUCUUCCGAGAAGACGGGGAGCAGAGGUUCGGUCUCUGGCGCCACCGGGGGGGAAUCCCAGGCCUGCUUCACGUGCACGGACCAGAAAGUCGGCUCCAUCGCUCUUGCAGCACCUGCAGCAGGAGGUCAGAAGCCUGUGCACAGUGCGGGCUGCAGAUUCUUCUGCAGGCUCAGGCCCUGGGUAUUUGUAGUCCUCCAGGGGGGCGGGGACGGAAAAAUUGGUAAACUUGGCCAUCUUAAAACGUCUAUUGCCUGGAUCUUCAAGCACUUGGUCGUAUUCGAGCACUUGGUCAUACUCGGGGCACUUGGUCGCGUUAGAGCACUGGGCGGUUUUUGAGCACUUGACCUUUAUCCAGCACUUGGACGUGUUUCAGCACUGGACGCUGCUCCUGCACACGGUCGUGGUCGUGUUCGAGCACUUGACCAUCUUCCAGCACUUGAACUCCAUGGGUCGUGUUGGAGCACUGGACGGUGUUUCGAGACCUUGGUCCUGAUCGAGCACUUGGUCGUUUUCAUGUCGGCGCACUGGACCGUCAUCGGGCAUUUGAACCUGUUCCAGCACUUGCUGGUGUUCCAGCACUUGGUCCUGUGUCAGCACUGGACAGUGUUUGAGCACUUGACCGUCAUGCGCACAUGAACGGUCGAGCACCAGGUCGCGUUAGAGCGCUGGACGGUGUUCCAGCCUUAACCUUCAUCAAGCACUUGGUCAUGUUGGAGCCCUGGACCGCGCUCGAGCCCUAGACCCUGCUCUACCAGAAAACGGUUGACAAAACGAAAGGAAAGCAGAGGCUACGGAGAUUCGGUCGUUCAUCCACCGAAUUCGUCCUCUUACAGGAGGAGGCCGCGGUCCGUUGUCUUGGGACACUUGUCGGGAGAAAACGUGCCUUGGCCGAUGGCAGUCAGCACUGAAUCCGUGAACUUAAAAAAAAAAACAGCGAUUAGAAACCGCGGAGAACGGAGCAUAGAGGAAAAAGAACGGA